rnacentral:misc_RNA from 1 species
GAUGAAGAACGUAGCGAAAUGCGAUAAGUUGUGUGAAUUGCAGAAUUCAGUGAAUCAUCGAAUCUUUGAACGCACAUUGCGCCCCUUGGUAUUCCAUGGGGCAUGCCUGUUCGAGCGUCAUUUGUACCUUCAAGCUUUGCUUGGUGUUGGGUGUUUGUCCUGAGGGACUCGCCUUAAAGUAAUUGGCAGCCAGUGUUUGGUUUUGAAGCGCAGCACAAGUCGCGAUUCAAAGCUAUACGCCCGCUUCCACAAGCCUUUUUCACUUUUGACCUCGGAUCAGGUAGGGAUACCCGCUGAACUUAAGCAUAUCAAUAAGCGGAGGA